rnacentral:rRNA from 1 species
CUCCAGUACCCCCCUGAGGAAAGUUGAAAAGUACUCUGAAGAGAGAGUAAACAGUGCGUGAAACCGCUCAGAGGUAAACGGGUGGAGUUGAACUGUAAGCUCCGGGGAUUCAGCUGGUGAGUGUGUCAUGGGCUUGGUCAUUUUCGGCCGGCCUCUGGAGUCCGCUUAGCUGCGGGUCCUUGUUCCUUCGGGGGCAGGGAUGUGCGUUGCGCUUGUCAAGUGCUGUGCGCUCUGGGGGUUACCGGGCUGGCUUGCCAGUGCACUUUCUCGGAGUGGUCACCACGACCGGCGUUGUUGUCUUGCUGCUGCAGUCGAACCGGUCAGGUUUGGUCCUUGUGGCUGAGCUUGGUCGGGAUGGCAGGUAGCUCAUUGGCUGGCUUGUCCAGUCUUUGGGUGUAAUUAGCUGGCUGCAGUGGUUCUGUGCAAUGCGUCGGGGACGGCGGCUUCAGGUAUGUGCUUGUGUGCUGUGGGCCGGCAGUGUCGGGUUUGACUAGCGUGUUUACCUGUUUCGGCAGGUCCGUUGGUAGCUCGGUGCUGUUCGGUCUGCUGUUGCAUUUGUGAUACCGUUCAUGGGCCUAUAGUCUGUGGUGUAGCAGCAAACGAUCCACCCGACCCGUCUUGAAACACGGACCAAGGAGUUUAACAUGUGCGCGAGUCAUUGGGCGUUACGAAACCCAACGGCGCAGUGAAAGUAAACCUCCGCUUUUCGGUGCCUCCUCUCUGUGGAUCCCUACACUUGUCGCAACCCCCAGCUAGGGGGGCACCCCAGCCCAUGGGGGGAGGUCCUCCCGUAAAGGGGGGGAAAUGCCAAAUUG